CCUACGGGAGGCAGCAGUGAGGAAUAUUGGUCAAUGGCCGGAAGGCUGAACCAGCCAAGCCGCGUGAAGGACGAAGGUGCCAAGCAUUGUAAACUUCUUUUGUCAAGGGACAAAAUCAGGCUCGAGAGCCUGACCGAGGGUACUUGAAGAAAAAGCAUAGGCUAAUUCCGUGCCAGCAGCCGCGGUAAUAAGGAGGAUGCGAGCGUUAUCCGGAUUUAUUGGGUGUAAUGGGUGCGUAGGCUGGCUGUUAAGUCAGCGGUAAAAGCCCGGGGCUCAACCCGGGCGAUACGUUGAAACUGGCUGUCUUGAGAUGUCGAGAGGUAUGCGGAAUGCGCAGUGUAGCGGUGAAAGGCUUAGAUAUUGCGCAGAACUCCGAUUGCGAAGGCAGCAUACCGGCGGCGAUCUGACGCUGAGGCACGAAAGCGUGGGUAUCGAACAGGAUUAGAUACCCCUGUAGUC
rnacentral:rRNA from 1 species